rnacentral:rRNA from 1 species
UAGGGAAUCUUCGGCAAUGGGGGGAACCCUGACCGAGCAACGCCGCGUGAGUGAAGAAGGUUUUCGGAUCGUAAAGCUCUGUUGUUAAGGAAGAACGAGUGUGAGAAUGGAAAGUUCAUACUGUGACGGUACUUAACCAGAAAGGGACGGCUAACUACGUGCCAGCAGCCGCGGUAAUACGUAGGUCCCGAGCGUUGUCCGGAUUUAUUGGGCGUAAAGCGAGCGCAGGCGGUUAGAUAAGUCUGAAGUUAAAGGCAGUGGCUCAACCAUUGUAGGCUUUGGAAACUGUUUAGCUUGAGUGCAGAAAGGGAGAGUGGAAUUCCAUGUGGAGCGGUGAAAUGCGUAGAUAUAUGGAGGAACACCGGUGGCGAAAGCGGCUCUCUGGUCUGUAACUGACGCUGAGGCUCGAAAGCGUGGGGAGCGAACAGG